rnacentral:miRNA from 1 species
CGAGCGGGAGCGCGCCUCGUCC